AAAGAAAUGAAGACAAUGAGAGUGAAUGAGAAGAUGGGAAAAGCUAUAUAAUUAGAAGCCAUGAUCAUGACAAAGUUGAGCUUGUAUUGGGUAUGGCAGCAACUCAAAGCUCUUGUGGCUAUUUAUAUCAUCAUACGGUGAGAAGAAUGAGUCAGCAGUCUUCCAUAUGUGUAUUUGUUUAGAAGAAUGAGUUGGUCUCAACUCUAUGACCAUUGACCAGCAUUACGUCUCACUACUGGUGUUAUUGUGAGUUCAGUAUAUAUACAAAAGGGAAAUAACUUGCCCACCAUAAAUAUGUGAGACUUAUAUAUUUAAUAGAUAGUUUCAUUGGUGUCUUGUUUUAAGUAUAGACUGAAUUUAAGCAAGAAAA
rnacentral:misc_RNA from 1 species